rnacentral:rRNA from 1 species
UAUCAAUAAGCGGAGGAAAAGAACCCAACCGGGAUUGCCUUAGUAACGGCGAGUGAAGCGGCAAAAGCUCAAAUUUGAAAUCUGGUACCUUCGGUGCCCGAGUUGUAAUUUGUAGAGGGCGACUUUGGGGCGGCUCCUUGUCUAUGUUCCUUGGAACAGGACGUCAUAGAGGGUGAGAAUCCCGUGUGGCGAGGAGUGCGGUUCCGUGUAAAGCGCUUUCGAAGAGUCGAGUUGUUUGGGAAUGCAGCUCUAAGUGGGUGGUAAAUUCCAUCUAAAGCUAAAUAUUGGCGAGAGACCGAUAGCGAACAAGUACAGUGAUGGAAAGAUGAAAAGAACUUUGAAAAGAGAGUGAAAAAGUACGUGAAAUUGUUGAAAGGGAAGGGCAUUUGAUCAGACAUGGUGUUUUGCGCCCCUCGCUCCUUGUGGGUGGGGGACUCUCGCAGCUCACUGGGCCAGCAUCAGUUUUGGCGGUCGGAUAAAACCAGGGGAACGUAGCUUGCUUCGGGAAGUAUUAUAGCCCUUGGGAAUACGGCCAGCCGGGACUGAGGAACGCGAUUCGUCAAGGAUGCUGGCAUAAUGGGUAUAUGCCGCCCGUCUUGAAACACGGACCAAGGAGUCUAACGUCUAUGCGAGUGUUUGGGUGUGAAACCCAUACGCGUAAUGAAAGUGAACGUAGGUUGGGGCCUGUCAAAGGGUGCACAAUCGACCGAUCCUGAUGUUUUCAGA